UACGUAGGUGGCAAGCGUUGUCCGGAUUUACUGGGCGUAAAGAGCGCGCAGGCGGUCGUAUAAGUCGAAUGUGAAAGCCCCCGGCUCAACUGGGGAGGGUCAUUCGAUACUGUUCGACUUGAAGGUAGGAGAGAGAAGCAGAAUUCCCGGUGUAGUGGUGAAAUGCGUAGAUAUCGUGAGGAAGACCAGUGGCGAAGGCGGGUCUCUGGACAGUUCCUGACACUGAGGCACGAAGGCCAGGGGAGCAAACGGG
rnacentral:rRNA from 1 species